rnacentral:misc_RNA from 1 species
GCACUCCAAGGAUAUCCUCCUCGUUCUUUAUCCCAUCAGGAAAAAUUCCAGGUAAAACGUACAAUGGAGAUGUACCUAAAUCACCAUAAACAACACCAAUGCAUUGAAACGCAAGCUUCCAGAUUGUUCCCCAAUCUGCCUUCUGCCGAACAGCAUUAGCGCUACCUUCAUCUGCCUCCAAAUCGAAUAAUCUUUGUUUAGAUAGGCUUUUU